UGUGGACUUCCUGAAUUAGAAAAGGAAGUUGAUGAAAAGAUUAACCAGUUUGUUGCGUGGGUAGAGAAACAUCCAAAUCGGAGUAGUCAGGUUUGCCUCUCCUUUUUCGAUGAGAAAAACAAACUCCCAAGCUGGUUUGGCAACAAAACAGAGCGUAUUUAUUGGGAACAGUGGUUCAUAAAUUUGCAUGUAAUAAGCCCAAAAAGGCAUGGCAAAUCACAUAGCUCUAAAGCACUAACAAAUAUUGGAGGGCAAGCAUUGGAAGAGAGUAGCUCAAGACGUGCUGCCUUGGAAUCAUCAAUUCAUGAAGUACUAUUCCAGAUCAUAAACUUUGCCAAUGAGAAAAAGGACCAUAUUCCUCCAAUCCCUGAUAGAAUAUUCAAUCAUGAGAUCUCCAUUCCAAGCUCCUCGGAUUCUAUGUUUGGAUGGAACACGGAUGUUCUUAGGAGAGUGUUGAAUAGUGGGCAUCCAUACUCCCUCUAGCUCAAGAUGGCCAAUGCUGCCAGUUAUCAUCACCUUUAAUGCUCAUAAGGAACAAAGUUUGUGUACAUAAUCAUGUGUGUAUUUCAUCUGGCUUGUAAAUAUUUAGGCUAAUUUGGUUCUUAGUUUAUCAGUGUCGCACGUUCCAUAGAGAAACAGGUUCUGAGUAUUGUGCAGUAACAUUAGAUGGUUCAUUGUGACGGGAUAGAGGUUACUGUCAAUUGAAAUGUGUAUCCCUCUUGCAGUACCAAUUGAUCUUGUUAGUACCAAGCAAAACCUUGCAUUAUACUGCUAUUACCUGUAAAUAAUGAAUCAUCCCAGUUGAAAACAAGCUUGUAAAUGU